rnacentral:rRNA from 1 species
AUUGAACGCUGGCGGCAGGCUUAACACAUGCAAGUCGAGCGGAGAGAAGUAGCUUGCUACUGAUCUUAGCGGCGGACGGGUGAGUAAUGCUUAGGAAUCUGCCUAUUAGUGGGGGACAACAUUUCGAAAGGAAUGCUAAUACCGCAUACGUCCUACGGGAGAAAGCAGGGGAUCUUCGGACCUUGCGCUAAUAGAUGAGCCUAAGUCGGAUUAGCUAGUUGGUGGGGUAAAGGCCUACCAAGGCGACGAUCUGUAGCGGGUCUGAGAGGAUGGUCCGCCACACUGGGCCUGAGACACGGCCCAGACUCCUACGGGAGGCAGCAGUGGGGAAUAUUGGACAAUGGGCGGAAGCCUGAUCCAGCCAUGCCGCGCGUGUGAAGAAGGCCUUAUGGUUAUAAAGCACUUUAAGCGAGGAGGAGGCUACUUUAGUUGAUGCCUAGAGAUAGUGGACGUUACUCGCAGAAUAAGCACCGGCUAACUCUGUGCCAGCCGCCGCAGUAAAAC